CUUAUAAUGAGCCAUCAUUUGGUCCAGAACUGCGACUUCAGAUUGUCCAUUUUUAACUUCUCCCGCUGAUAUAAAGCGUUUUCGGCUUCUCGCCUUCUACUCUCAUGAAAAAUAAGAUUUAAAAAUGGUUCCAGUUUCAAAUAGCGAAAUGGGCUGCUUCUCAACAUUUCCCAGAUAUCCAAGAUCUAAUAAGGCUGAAAAUUGCGUGUAAAGGUGCAUAUUCACAAAUUGUCCAUUUUCCGCUUCUUUCGCUGAGAUGAAGCGUUUUUAGCAUUUCAGCUUCUGCUCUCAGUAAACAUAAGAUUUAGACCUGGUUCCAUUUUCAAACAGCCAGAUGUGUUGUUUUUCAGCAUUUCCCAAAUGUCCAACAUAAGGCUGAAAAUUGCAUGUAGAGGUGUAAAUUCACAAAUUGAUCAAUUUUAAAUUCUUUCGCUGAGAUAGGGCCUCUGGGCUUCUGCCUUCAUGAAACAUAAAAUUUAUGUUUCAAACAGCCAGAUGUGUUGCUUCUCGUCAUUUUGGAGCUGUCCAACAUUUAAUAGGGUUGCAAAUUGAAUGUAGAGCCGAUUGUCCAUUUUUUAAUUCUUUCGCUGAGAUAAAGUGUUUUUUGGCAUCGAGCAUGCUGAGAGAGGAGCAUACAUUCGGAGCUCUACAUCUUAUUGUCAGCUUUAUUAGAUGUGGGACAUCUCAGAAAUGCUUAGAAGCAGUAGAUCUGGCUGUUUCAAACUUUACUCAGAUCUAAAAUGAUUUAGAACUGAGUAAAGUUUGAAACAGCCAGAUCUACUGCUUCUAAGCAUUUCUGAGAUGUCCCACAUCUAAUAAAGCUGACAAUAAGAUGUAGAGCUCCGAAUCCAGAUUGUCCAAUUUU